GAUGAACGCUGGCGGCGUGCCUAAUACAUGCAAGUCGAGCGAACGGACGAGAAGCUUGCUUUUCUGAUGUUAGCGGCGGACGGGUGAGUAACACGUGGAUAACCUACCUAUAAGACUGGGAUAACUUCGGGAAACCGGAGCUAAUACCGGAUAAUAUUUUGAACCGCAUGGUUCAAAAGUGAAAGACGGUCUUGCUGUCACUUAUAGAUGGAUCCGCGCUGCAUUAGCUAGUUGGUAAGGUAACGGCUUACCAAGGCAACGAUGCAUAGCCGACCUGAGAGGGUGAUCGGCCACACUGGAACUGAGACACGGUCCAGACUCCUACGGGAGGCAGCAGUAGGGAAUCUUCCGCAAUGGGCGAAAGCCUGACGGAGCAACGCCGCGUGAGUGAUGAAGGUCUUCGGAUCGUAAAACUCUGUUAUUAGGGAAGAACAUAUGUGUAAGUAACUGUGCACAUCUUGACGGUACCUAAUCAGAAAGCCACGGCUAACUACGUGCCAGCAGCCGCGGUAAUACGUAGGUGGCAAGCGUUAUCCGGAAUUAUUGGGCGUAAAGCGCGCGUAGGCGGUUUUUUAAGUCUGAUGUGAAAGCCCACGGCUCAACCGUGGAGGGUCAUUGGAAACUGGAAAACUUGAGUGCAGAAGAGGAAAGUGGAAUUCCAUGUGUAGCGGUGAAAUGCGCAGAGAUGUGGAGGAACACCAGUGGCGAAGGCGACUUUCUGGUCUGUAACUGACGCUGAUGUGCGAAAGCGUGGGGAUCAAACAGGAUUAGAUACCCUGGUAGUCCACGCCGUAAACGAUGAGUGCUAAGUGUUAGGGGGUUUCCGCCCCUUAGUGCUGCAGCUAACGCAUUAAGCACUCCGCCUGGGGAGUACGACCGCAAGGUUGAAACCCAAAGGAAUUGACGGGGGCCCGCACAAGCGGUGGAGCAUGUGGUUUAAUUCGAAGCAACGCGAAGAACCUUACCAAAUCUUGACAUCCUUUGACAACUCUAGAGAUAGAGCCUUCCCCUUCGGGGGACAAAGUGACAGGUGGUGCAUGGUUGUCGUCAGCUCGUGUCGUGAGAUGUUGGGUUAAGUCCCGCAACGAGCGCAACCCUUAAGCUUAGUUGCCAUCAUUAAGUUGGGCACUCUAAGUUGACUGCCGGUGACAAACCGGAGGAAGGUGGGGAUGACGUCAAAUCAUCAUGCCCCUUAUGAUUUGGGCUACACACGUGCUACAAUGGACAAUACAAAGGGCAGCGAAACCGCGAGGUCAAGCAAAUCCCAUAAAGUUGUUCUCAGUUCGGAUUGUAGUCUGCAACUCGACUACAUGAAGCUGGAAUCGCUAGUAAUCGUAGAUCAGCAUGCUACGGUGAAUACGUUCCCGGGUCU
rnacentral:rRNA from 1 species